UUAAGAUUCACACAUAAUCUC
rnacentral:piRNA from 1 species